UACGAAGGGGACUAGCGUUGUUCGGAAUUACUGGGCGUAAAGCGCACGUAGGCGGCUUUGUUAGUCAGGGGUGAAAUCCCGGGGCUCAACCUCGGAACUGCCUUUGAUACUGCAAAUCUCGAGUCCGAUAGAGGUGGGUGGAAUUCCUAGUGUAGAGGUGAAAUUCGUAGAUAUUAGGAAGAACACCGGUGGCGAAGGCGGCCCACUGGAUCGGUACUGACGCUGAGGUGCGAAAGCGUGAGGAGCAAACAGG
rnacentral:rRNA from 1 species